rnacentral:rRNA from 1 species
UACAGAGGGUGCAAGCGUUGUUCGGAUUUAUUGGGCGUAAAGAGCGUGUAGGCGGCCAGACAGGUCCGUUGUGAAAACUCGAGGCUCAACCUCGAGAUGUCGAUGGAAACCGUCUGGCUAGAGUCCGGAAGAGGAGUGUGGAAUUCCUGGUGUAGCGGUGAAAUGCGCAGAUAUCAGGAAGAACACCUAUGGCGAAGGCAGCACUCUGGGACGGUACUGACGCUGAGACGCGAAAGCGUGGGGAGCGAACAGG